rnacentral:rRNA from 1 species
UAACACGUAGGUAACCUGCCCAUGUGCCCGGGAUAACUUCUGGAAACGGAUGCUAAAACCGGAUAGGUAGCAGACAAGCAUUUGACUGCUAUUAAAGUGGCUAAGGCCAUGAACAUGGAUGGACCUGCGGUGCAUUAGCUAGUUGGUGAGGUAACGGCCCACCAAGGCGACGAUGCAUAGCCGGCCUGAGAGGGCGGACGGCCACAUUGGGACUGAGACACGGCCCAAACUCCUACGGGAGGCAGCAUG